AGGUCAUCCCUCUAAAUUUCUCCACAAUGACACCCUACUUCUUGAGUCUCAUUAUGCUGGCUGCCUUCUCCAAAGGAGGCCUCUCCCAGGUAGUCCUGACCCAGUCAGAUCCAGUGCUGAAGAAACCCGGAGAAGCCCAUAAACUGACUUGCGCUGUCACUGGAUUCGAUGUUAACAGCUACAAUAUGUAUUGGAUCAGACAGAAACCUGGCCAAGGACUGGAAUGGAUUGUUUACUAUUAUUCAUCUAGUGACAAUGCUUAUUCGCCAACAAUCCAAGGACGAUUUACUGCCUCCAAGGACAGUCCCAACUUCUAUCUGCAAAUGAACAACCUAAAAGCUGAGGACACGGCUGUCUAUUACUGUGCAGGAGACACAGUGAAAUAG